rnacentral:rRNA from 1 species
AGAGUUUGAUCCUGGCUCAGAUUGAACGCUGGCGGCAGGCCUAACACAUGCAAGUCGAGCGGAUGAGGGGUGCUUGCACCCCGAUUCAGCGGCGGACGGGUGAGUAAUGCCUAGGAAUCUGCCCGAUAGUGGGGGACAACGUUUCGAAAGGAACGCUAAUACCGCAUACGUCCUACGGAGAAAGUGGGGGCUCUUCGGACCUCACGCUAUCGGAUGAGCCUAGGUCGGAUUAGCUAGUUGGUGGGGUAAAGGCCCACCAAGGCGACGAUCCGUAACUGGUCUGAGAGGAUGAUCAGUCACACUGGAACUGAGACACGGUCCAGACUCCUACGGGAGGCAGCAGUGGGGAAUAUUGGACAAUGGGCGAAAGCCUGAUCCAGCCAUGCCGCGUGUGUGAAGAAGGUCUUCGGAUUGUAAAGCACUUUAAGUCGGGAGGAAGGGCUGUAGGUUAAUACCCUGCGGUUUUGACGUUACCGACAGAAUAAGCACCGGCUAACUUCGUGCCAGCAGCCGCGGUAAUACGAAGGGUGCAAGCGUUAAUCGGAAUUACUGGGCGUAAAGCGCGCGUAGGUGGUUUGGUAAGUUGGAUGUGAAAGCCCCGGGCUCAACCUGGGAACUGCAUCCAAAACUGCCUGACUAGAGUACGGUAGAGGGUGGUGGAAUUUCCUGUGUAGCGGUGAAAUGCGUAGAUAUAGGAAGGAACACCAGUGGCGAAGGCGACCACCUGGACUGAUACUGACACUGAGGUGCGAAAGCGUGGGGAGCAAACAGGAUUAGAUACCCUGGUAGUCCACGCCGUAAACGAUGUCGACUAGCCGUUGGGCUCCUUGAGAGCUUAGUGGCGCAGCUAACGCAUUAAGUCGACCGCCUGGGGAGUACGGCCGCAAGGUUAAAACUCAAAUGAAUUGACGG